UACAGAGGUCCCAAGCGUUGUUCGGAUUUACUGGGCGUAAAGGGUGCGUAGGUGGCGGGGUAAGUCUGGUGUGAAAGCUCCGAGCUCAACUCGGAAAAGCAUUGGAAACUAUCCCGCUUGAGGGUCGGAGGGGAGACUGGAAUUCUCGGUGUAGCAGUGAAAUGCGUAGAUAUCGGGAGGAACACCUGUGGCGAAGGCGGCCACCUGGUUGGAUACUGACGCUGAGACGCGAAAGCGUGGGGAGCAAACAGG
rnacentral:rRNA from 1 species